GGACUACUGGGGUAUCUAAUCCCGUUCGCUCCCCUGGCUUUCGCGCCUCAGCGUCAGAAUACGAGUCCAGGACCUUGCUUUCGCCGUUGGCGUUCCGUCCGAUCUCAACGCAUUUCACCGCUCCACCGGACGUUCCAGGUCCCCCUCCUCGCCUCGAGACACGGCCGUAUCGAAGCCCGUUCCCCGGUUGAGCCGGGGGCUUUAAACUCCGACGCGCCGAUCCGCCUACGCGCCCUUUAAGCCCAAUGAUUCCGAAUAACGUUUGCACGGUUCGUCUUACCGCGGCUGCUGGCAC
rnacentral:rRNA from 3 species